AACGAACGCUGGCGGCAUGCCUAACACAUGCAAGUCGAACGAGACCUUCGGGCCUAGUGGCGCACGGGUGCGUAACGCGUGGGAACCUGCCCUUAGGUUCGGAAUAACUCCCCGAAAGGUGUGCUAAUACCGGAUAAUGUCUUCGGACCAAAGAUUUAUCGCCUUUGGAUGGGCCCGCGUUGGAUUAGCUAGUUGGUAGGGUAAAAGCCUACCAAGGCGACGAUGCAUAGCUGGUCUGAGAGGAUGAUCAGCCACACUGGGACUGCGACACGGCCCAGACUCGUACGGGAGGCAGCAGUGGGGAAUAUUGUGCGAUGGACGAAAGCCUGAUCCAACAAUGCCGCGUGAGUGAUGAAGGCCUUAGGGUUGUAAAGCUCUUUUACCCGGGAUGAUAAUGACAGUACCGGGAAAAUAAGCUCCGGCUAACUCCGUG
rnacentral:rRNA from 1 species